rnacentral:rRNA from 1 species
CCAAUAGCGUAUAUUAAAGUUGUUGCAGUUAAAAAGCUCGUAGUUGAAUUUCGGGGUUAGUAGGUCGGUCAUGCCACUGGUAUGUACUGGUCUCACUGAUUCCUCCUUCCUGAUGAACCGUAAUGCCAUUAAUUUGGUGUUGCGGGGAGACUGGACUGUUACUUUGAAAAAAUUAGAGUGUUUAAAGCAGGCUAACGCUUGAAUACAUUAGCAGUGAAUAAUGAAAUAGGACGUUCGAUCCUAUUUUGUUGGUUUCUAGGAUUGACGUAAUGAUUAAUAGGGAUAGUUGGGGGCAUUAGUAUUCAAUUGUCAGAGGUGAAAUUCUUGGAUUUAUUGAAGACUAACUACUGCGAAAGCAUUUGCCAAGGAUGUUUUCAUUAAUCAAGAACGAAAGUUAGGGGAUCGAAGACGAUCAGAUACCGUCGUAGUCUUAACCAUAAACUAUGCCGACUAGGGAUCGGAUGAUGUUAAUUUUUUAAUGACUCAUUCGGCGCCUUACG